AAGUCAUAACAAGGUUUCCGUAGGUGAACCUGCGGAAGGAUCAUUAAUAAUGCCUUGAUCUUCGGUCUAUUGGGUUCAAUGUGUGCCUUCUCUUCGGAGUUGGCCAUCCACACACACCAUGAACUGUGGCUUCGGCCAUCACAAACUAUUAGUAAUGAAUGUAAUAUCAUAACAAAAUAAAA
rnacentral:misc_RNA from 1 species